rnacentral:tRNA from 1 species
GGUCCCAUGGUCAAGAGGUUAAGACAUCGCCCUUUCACGGCGGUAACAGGGGUUCGAGUCCCCUUGGGACUACCA